AGUGAGCGCUGGCGGUAGGCCUAACACAUGCAAGUCGAACGGCAGCACAGGAGAGCUUGCUCUCUGGGUGGCGAGUGGCGGACGUGUGAGGAAUACAUCGGAAUCUACUUUUUCGUGGGGGAUAACGUAGGGAAACUUACGCUAAUACCGCAUACGACCUACGGGUGAAAGCAGGGGAUCUUCGGACCUUGCGCGAUUGAAUGAGCCGAUGUCGGAUUAGCUAGUUGGCGGGGUAAAGGCCCACCAAGGCGACGGUCCGUAGCUGGUCUGAGAGGAUGAUCAGCCACACUGGAACUGAGACACGGUCCAGACUCCUACGGGAGGCAGCAGUGGGGAAUAUUGGACAAUGGGCGCAAGCCUGAUCCAGCCAUACCGCGUGGGUGAAGAAGGCCUUCGGGUUGUAAAGCCCUUUUGUUGGGAAAGAAAUCCAGCUGGUUAAUACCCGGUUGGGAUGACGGUACCCAAAGAAUAAGCACCGGCUAACUUCGUGCCAGCCGCCGCCGUAA
rnacentral:rRNA from 1 species